UUCCGGAUCCAUUCCCAUCACCAAGCGCUGCGCUGAAAAUGUCAGGCACUGCACACGCUUGCUGUGUGUCUCCACAGGGGUUUCUGUCAAUAUACACUUUCUGUUACCCAAUUUAGAUGCUGAACAUCGAAGUCUUGAGCGUUUGAUUCAAAAUUCAACAAAUAAUGAGCACCAAGGGUGCAGUUCUACAUUGCCUUGAAAAAUAAAAUCUCCUUUGAGCUGUGAAAAACAAGAUACUCGGUAAUUUUACCUUGAGUUCUACACCUGAAGGAAGGUUUUGGAGAUUGUGAGUAAUCUUUUUAACUGCUGGCAGCUGAGCUCUUUGAAGGCUCUCCCCAGGUUGCCCCCAUGGUUUGUAAUCAGGUGUGCACAAUAAAUGUUAAUGAGGGGGUGCUCUGGAGGUUUGGUUAAGCAGUGCAAAGGUUUGUUCGCUGGUAGAGGGUGGGAGGUCCAGAAACCCAGUGGAGCUACCCCAAAGGAGCAGAUAUGUUGUCACUUUUAAAAAUCUUCUCAGGAGUUAACAGUGGGGGGAAAAGAUGAAGAUGUUCAGAGGAGCGAUGCUGGGAAUACUUCUGUGGUCCGUGCUGUUUGCUGUCUGGUGUUUGACAUCCACUUUCUCCAUCUCGCUUCCAUCAGUGGCUCCCUGCAGAAUCUCAGCUGUAAGCUUUCCCUGCCUGCUUCCAUGAGCUAGCCUGCUGGGUCUCACGCUUCCCAAAAUGAUGUGCAGGUAGUGAUAUGCUCUCUGCCUUGGAGAUCAGAGAUGAAAGAAGUGAAGAUUGCCAUCAGGGAAUUGUUUGGUUUUCUGUGCUGGGUACACAAGGGGGUGUCUAUAGCUCUUCAUUUGGGUACUUGUCCCAGCCAUACAAAUCCACCUCUGCUGAGUACGAAGCACAGAAAUACUUUUUCUUGAGACAGCGUGAGCUUUGGCUUAUCCCUGAUGGAUUUACGAGGAUGCAGGAGAAGAUGGAAAGCCAAGUCUGAGCAGAAAGCGAGGGGAGCUGGGUGGCAGCAGCAUGGGUGCUGUGCCCAGACCCUGCGUGGGCUGGAAGUGCUGGGUAUCCCUGCUGUGCUGCGUGGCUUCAUCCUGCCAAAGCCAGCCAGAGCUGGGUGUGCUCUGCCCAGGGCUGCUUCUGAGGAGAAGCUCUUGCCAGCUGGAAGAGCUGAGGUCUCGAAAGCAGGGUGAGCAGCUCAUCGGAGUCAAGACCAUCUUCUAAAUGUUAACGGGCACAUUGCAGGAGAUGCUCAGCAGGCACAAAAGGUCACUACUGCCCAGGCUUUCAGUAAAACAAAGGCCAGCUAUUUUUAACCUAAUUUCAAGUGGAAAGCCUAAAGCCAUAAGCUGGCCUGAUUGCAAAAAGCCUGGACUCGCCUGAUAAUCAGAGCUGGAUGUGUAAUGUGGGACUGUGACCAUGUACACGUUCACAAGCCGCAUCCAAAAAUCCCUUCUGAACUCUGCUAAUGCAGUGAUGGUUGUGGGCAUGGCCUGACCCUGCGGAGUCCUGCACUAAAAAGCUGUUCCUGAGUUACUGUAAGGGACAGGGAGUUUGGGAACUGAAGGUGGGAGCUGCAGGCAUAACUUGCAUGACUUAAUAAUGCCCCCAUCUUCAGCUGCCACUGCAAAUCAGUGAAAAAAACAAGAUAUUGUAUUGAUUACCAGGCAAAUGGGACGUGCCAGAAAGGAUCUUGUUUUCUGUUUGGGUAACCCAGGGCUCCUUGGAUGUGUCCUAUAUAGAAAGCAGCUUUGAAUCUGAAGGUGUCUUUAAAAAUAUGUAUUUAAAAUAGAUCCAUAGAGAUCAUGACCUGCUGGCUGCAGUGUGAGCAUUGACAGGAGAAGCUCUGCACCUGCUUCAUGUGGCUUCCUUCAGCCUGGAGGCCGAGCCAAGAGAAGCCAUGUUCUGGUCCUGCACCAUAUCCUGAUGUUCUUCUCACUGCUGCUGUAGAAAGCAGGACUGCAGGUACAGGUUUCCUAACACUUGUUCCUGGUGUAGGAGAAGAGUUACCAGGACUUCUUGGUGGACUUCAUAAACUCUGCAGUCCCUGAACUGAGCAGCACCGGGCUUCACACAGGUUCAGUGUGCUGCCUCUCUGGUGUGACAAAGCUGUGUCAAGGAAAGGGGGGAAAAAAGGGCAAAUUUGGGCCAACCAGCCUUAUUUCUCCUGAAAUGGGGUUUUAUAGCAGGGCUUUUCUUGAACUUAUGGAGCAUAUGUGGAAUACUUUUGACUUCUUAUCAGCCUGCCAGUGAAGACCUUCUCCAUAGCAGGGACAGGCAUGGACUCUCAGCUGCCCUGCUGUGCAGUGAUGAGAGUAGAUCACCUUCUGGUUACAGCACAGGAAUGGGAGGGCUUGUGAGCAGAGGAGCCGCUUCUUCCAUCAAUGGUCACUGAGGGCUUGGUAAAGCAAGUAGCUUUGCUCCUGGAGCACCUGAGCACAUCGUUUCCCUUGGCAAACAAAGCUGAUCUGUGCCAUUGGGUGGCUGCCAAGCACAGCAUCGGGUCCCUGCCUGCAGCAGUGAUGGAGAGGCUUUGUGUCCAAAUUAAUACAUGUGACACAGCCCGGGCCUGUUCUUGGCUGCUUUCUGACGAGCUCUGGUGGGACGCAGUCCUCAGCCUGUGGCAGUAAGCGUUGCUGGCAAGUCCUGUGGUUCCAAUUUCCCUGCUGCUCAUCUGUCUCCAUCUGCCUUUGGGCCAGUGCAGGGGAUGCCGUGGCUCAGCUCCUGAGCUACGUGCUGUGUUUUAGGGGAAGAUGCUGCUGUGGUGGUGAUUUUUCACUGAGCAGGCGCACAGCGUGCAUGGCCACUGCUAUUUCUAGGUGCUGCGGUACUGCCAGACUCUCUCUUUUGCUCAAGAAGCACAAGCAUGGUUUUCUGCAGCUCCAUAAGAGAUUUGGAGCUCUAUGGCUUAAAAUAAAAUUAAAAAAAAAAAAAAUAAGCCCAGCUAUCUCACUGGUGUGUGCUGCCCCUCUGGAUCUGAGGGGUGCCCCAGACCUCCUGAACACGCCUGGUGCUGCACUCACCAGCACUUGGCAUUAGUGCUUCAAUCUCUGAGGAGACCAGCAUGUCCUCAGGCUGUCAGAGUGCACCGAUCACACACAUGUAUCUCUUUAUCUUAUUUGUAGGGCUCCUGUCCCCAAGCUGUGAGGUGCUGCAGAGGUCACUGAGCUCGUGCUUGCCCAGAAAUUCCCAUGGAAAACCAUUGAUAGGUCAGGAAUGGCAGUGCAGGGCUGGCUUUGGAGGAUCCCGAAGUGCACCAUGAGUAUGUUGUUGCCCUCAUUCUUCUUUCCAGGCACAGAUUUCUUUAAGUUCUUUGGUAGAAGUUGUACAGGACAUCUCUCCUUAAAGCAAACAAUAGGAGCUGUAUCUCAAGGGGUGCAGAUCAGCCGAACCCCAGCAACGGCAGCGGAGCUGCUUUUUUCCCCCCAAGCCUGCAAGAAGUGACAGAUCAAACACUCCUUCCUCCAGAUUUGCUAGGGCCAAGACCUGUGUAUGGCUGUACCCUUGAGUGACAAACUUUCUUGUGUUUUUUUCCCCCUGCCCAUCAUAAAGCACUGCACCAGGUGUUUGCACUUAACCUCCCUCUGCUCUUCAGCAAAACAAAAACCACGCUGCAUUUCCACGGCGUCCUGUGAAGCAUCCUCACUGUGUGCUUCCCAGGGUUAAUCAUUGAAGUUAAUGAUAAAAGUAGCGCAAAGCAGCAAGGGGAUACGUGCCUGUCUCAGUUAGUUUCAAGGCUGUUGCAGUCUGCCUGCUCCAAAUCACAGAAGGGAGCUGAUGCCACCGGUGAGGAGCAAUGGUUAAAAAAGAAAAGCCUUGGCUGCUUCCCAGAGAGCUGAAGUACUAAUUAGGGCCAUGGACAGUCGGCUAAUUCAGACCUUAAUGAGCCCCGAGGGACUGCAAGAUAACAAAAGCUCAGAUGGGUACACCACUGUGCAGCCUUGAAGCUGGGCUGUUUUAGUGCUAAGAGCCUUGACGAUAAAUGUGGCAUCGUGCGUGGAACUGGGAGGAAACUGGAAAAGGAGCUUGUGAGAUCUGGAGGCAGGUGCAGCUUCCUCUAAGGGCAGAUUUCACCCACAAAAAGCCAAAAGCACCCCAGUGAGACUGGAGGCCUCUGUAGUGGAAAACAAGAUGUGAAGUUCGGUUUUAGUCCUGGGGUUGCAAAGACGGGUCAAAGGUGGGACCGAAGUCAUCGUCUUGUUUUGAGGAUGUUGGGCUGGAUCUUAAAUUUCUUCUCUUGGUGGUUACCUUUUGGUUUUCUUUUGAAGAGUCGUGGUGCCUUUCGUCUCCUUCAUUUCCUUGGAAAGCACUUUUUGUGUGGGCAUGGCCAACAUCUAGCAUAGGAUGCUUCCUUGCCACCAGGACCCAAACCAGAUGUAAAGCAAAAAAGAAAAAAAAGCAAAAAUCCUUCCAGCUGGCCUUGCAACCUGCUCCCAGUGAACCCCAGGUACCCCUCAAUCACCCUCAGUGAGCUUUGGCUAAGGUGCCAUGGACCCUCCGUGGUUGUGUGGCUCUUUCCAGCAGCACCUUCCUCUUGUGGGUUUUUGCUUUUUCAAAGCACAACCACACGACUGGGAGCAUAAUGAGGAGAUCUUGUUGGGAGCAUCCUGGCAAACGUGGGCUUGUUGGUGUGCUCCUGCCAGCCUGCUCAGACAAGGCAAAUAUUCCUGCCUCUGUGUCUGUGCGGGCAUUCCUGCCCCGGUCUCCCUCGUGGGCUGUGAUGGGCAGGAUCUGGCCUUUAAUCACAGGUUUUUGUGAAGGUUUGUGCCUGUACGGCUGCAGCACCAAUUAUCCCUGCAUUUAGCCUGCUGAGAAGUUAGAGGUAAUUGACACAAUUUUGCUUCAAAGCUCGUUUUUAAUGAAUUAAAUUUAAAUUUAAUUAA